GGUNGGUAGUCNGUACGAGCGCACCCCUAUCCUUAUUUGCCAGCGCAUAAUGGCGGGAACUAUAAGGAGACUGCCGGUCAUAAACCGGAGGAAGGCGGGGACGAUGUCAAGUCAUCAUGGCCCUUAUGGGUAGGGCUACACACGUGAUACAAUGGGUGGUACAGAGGGUUGCCAAAGCGCGAGCUGGAGCCAAACCCUUAAAACCAUUCUUAGUCCGGAUUGGAGUCUGCAACUCGACUCCAUGAAGUCGGAAUCGCUAGUAAUCGCGAAUCAGAAUGUCGCGGUGAAUACGUUCUCGGGCCUUGUACACACCGCCCGUCACGUCAUGGAAGUGGGUUGCACCAGAAGUGGCUUGUUUAACCUUCGGGAAAACGGUCACCACGGUGUGAUUCACAACUGGGACGAAGUCGUAACAAGGUAGCCCUAGGGGANNCUGGGGCUGGAUCACCUCCUU
rnacentral:rRNA from 1 species